rnacentral:rRNA from 1 species
AGACCCGAAACCCGGUGAUCUAGCCAUGGGCAGGUUGAAGGUUGGGUAACACUAACUGGAGGACCGAACCGACUAAUGUUGAAAAAUUAGCGGAUGACCUGUGGCUGGGGGUGAAAGGCCAAUCAAACCGGGAGAUAGCUGGUUCUCCCCGAAAGCUAUUUAGGUAGCGCCUCGUGAAUUCAUCUCCGGGGGUAGAGCACUGUUUCGGCUAGGGGGCCAUCCCGGCUUACCAACCCGAUGCAAACUGCGAAUACCGGAGAAUGUUAUCACGGGAGACACACGGCGGGUGCUAACGUCCGUCGUGAAGAGGGAAACAACCCAGACCGCCAGCUAAGGUCCCAAAGUCAUGGUUAAGUGGGAAACGAUGUGGGAAGGCCCAGACAGCCAGGAUGUUGGCUUAGAAGCAGCCAUCAUUUAAAGAAAGCGUAAUAGCUCACUGGUCGAGUCGGCCUGCGCGGAAGAUGUAACGGGGCUAAACCAUGCACCGAAGCUGCGGCAGCGACGCUGAUGCGUUGUUGGGUAGGGGAGCGUUCUGUAAGCCUGUGAAGGUGGCCUGUGAGGGUUGCUGGAGGUAUCAGAAGUGCGAAUGCUGACAUAAGUAACGAUAAAGCGGGUGAAAAGCCCGCUCGCCGGAAGACC